AGAGAACUGGUUUUGCUCCCCAGCGGCAGCCGCAGUUACUGGGAGAGGAGAUGAUCGAUCACUCUACCCUACAGCAGAAAGCGUCCUGGGAAGUGGAGGAAACCGGCCUCACCCUCAAGUAGGCAAUUCCUCCUCUCAGCAGCAGAUUCUCAACCGGGUCCUGGGGGUAGUGGAGGCUGGCGGUCUCCACUAACCCCCUUCCAGUGGAGCUGGCAUCAGAG